GACAGAGGGUGCAAACGUUGUUCGGAUUUACUGGGCGUAAAGCGCGUGUAGGCGGCUUUGCAAGUCGGAUGUGAAAGCCCACGGCUCAACCGUGGAAGUGCAUCCGAAACUGCAUGGCUUGAGUCUCGGAGAGGAAGGUGGAAUGCUUGGUGUAGAGGUGAAAUUCGUAGAUAUCAAGCAGAACACCUGCGGCGAAGGCGGCCUUCUGGACGGUGACUGACGCUGAGACGCGAAAGCGUGGGGAGCAAACAGG
rnacentral:rRNA from 1 species